rnacentral:ncRNA from 1 species
CAUUACCCGUCACACUAUGGGAGCUGGCCAUGCCCAAAGUCGUUACCUUAAAUGCAAGGAGGGGGAUGCCGAAGGCAGGGCUAGUGACUGGAGUGAAGUCGUAACAAGGUAGCCGUACUGGAAGGUGCGGCUG